CUCAGCUGUCCUUUGGCUCACAGCAGGAGCAGACAAGGACCAUCUGCACCAAAUUAAGGAGAUCCACUCCAGGAGAAAUGGGAAGGACCUUAUCAGACACUGCUGACCACUCAUACAGCAAUUAAAGCACAAGGAAAACCGACCUGGAUCCAUUGUACCAGGACCAAACCUGCACCAAAGCCAGAGUGGGAGGCAAGAAGAACAGGACCUCUGUGCCUUCAACUAUGAAAAAUCAACACAACAUGAUCUGGACCAUAUUAGUGACA
rnacentral:lncRNA from 13 species